UUUCUGGUAAAGCGCAUGUUGACGGCGGCCACAGCUGUUAGGAAGCGGCCGGACGCUGAAAGUGACCAGCUUUAGUCAUUAGUGGGGCUUUUAUAAAUAUGAUGGGAAUGUGGGCUACAGUACAAAGAUCCACAUGCGAGCUGCGGCAAAGGCGCUGUGGCUGUGGCCGUUUUGAUGUGUCCCUUUGCGCUGUCCCCAGUCAGGGCCGGCGGCUUCCCAGUGGCUUCAGAAAAACUGGAUGGACUGUUACUGCGAUAAGAAAAUCUUCUCCACCUUCAGAGCCUGGGAGUUAAACAGCACGAUCUGUCAGAUCUCCAGAAGAGCUGCAGAGGGCUGCAGGAGAGAUGGAGAUCACAGCUAACGUGUGGCCAGGAGGCCCGACCUUCUCAGUGGAUGAGGAUGAAGUUGGUCCUGCUCUCAUCCCCCUCCCUCUCUGAGCAGCAGACUCACAGAUCGGCGGCA